CCUACGGGGGGCAGCAGUGAGGAAUAUUGGUCAAUGGGCUUACGCCUGAACCAGCCAAGUCGCGUGAAGGAAGAAGGCUUUCGGGUUGUAAACUUCUUUUCUCAGGGACGAAGCAAGUGACGGUACCUGAGGAAUAAGCCACGGCUAACUACGUGCCAGCAGCCGCGGUAAUACGUAGGUGGCAAGCGUUAUCCGGAUUUACUGGGUGUAAAGGGCGUGUAGGCGGGACUGCAAGUCAGAUGUGAAAACCACGGGCUCAACCUGUGGCCUGCAUUUGAAACUGUAGUUCUUGAGUACUGGAGAGGCAGACGGAAUUCCUAGUGUAGCGGUGAAAUGCGUAGAUAUUAGGAGGAACACCAGUGGCGAAGGCGGUCUGCUGGACAGCAACUGACGCUGAGGCGCGAAAGCGUGGGGAGCAAACAGGAUUAGAUACCCUAGUAGUC
rnacentral:rRNA from 1 species